rnacentral:rRNA from 1 species
GUAGGGAAUAUUCCGCAAUGGGCGAAAGCCUGACGGAGCAACGCCGCGUGAGUGAAGAAGGUCUUCGGAUCGUAAAGCUCUGUCAACAGGGACGAAACAAGACGGUACCUGAGAAGGAAGCCACGGCAAACUACGUGCCAGCAGCCGCGGUAAUACGUAGGUGGCAAGCGUUGUCCGGAAUAACUGGGCGUAAAGCGCAUGUAGACGGCAUGAUAAGCCAAAUGUGAAAUGUAGGGGCUCAACCCCUACACGACGAUUGGAACUGUCAAGCUUGAGUGCAGGAGAGGCAAAUUGAAUUCCCAGUGUAGCAGUGAAAUGCGUAGAGAUUGGGAGGAACACCAGUGGCGAAGGCGAUUUGCUGGACUGCAACUGACGUUGAGAUGCGAAAGCCAGGGGAGCAAACGGGAUUAGAUACCCUUGUAGUCC